rnacentral:ncRNA from 1 species
CCUGAAAAAUGCCACUUCGACCGAAAGGCGGAGGCGCAAAGAUCCCGAUCUAACAGAUGCUACUUUUCUUAUGAUGGCGGGAUUGCCAGG